rnacentral:tRNA from 1 species
GCCUUCGUGGUGCAAUGGUCAGCACACUCAGCGUGUAUUCGAGAGGUCCGAGGUUCAAUUCCCGGCAAGAGCA